rnacentral:rRNA from 1 species
GAUGAACGCUGGCGGCGUGCUUAACACAUGCAAGUCGAACGGAAAGGCCCAAGCUUGCUUGGGUACUCGAGUGGCGAACGGGUGAGUAACACGUGGGUGAUCUGCCCUGCACUUCGGGAUAAGCCUGGGAAACUGGGUCUAAUACCGGAUAGGACCACUUCUUGGAUGUUGUGGUGGAAAGUUUUUUCGGUGUGGGAUGAGCUCGCGGCCUAUCAGCUUGUUGGUGGGGUAAUGGCCUACCAAGGCGUCGACGGGUAGCCGGCCUGAGAGGGUGUACGGCCACAGUGGGACUGAGAUACGGCCCAGACUCCUACGGGAGGCAGCAGUGGGGAAUAUUGCACAAUGGGCGCAAGCCUGAUGCAGCGACGCCGCGUGGGGGAGGACGGCCUUCGGGUUGUAAACUCAUUUCGCUAGGGACGAAGCGUUUUGUGACGGUACCUGGAGAAGAAGCACCGGCUAACUACGUG